rnacentral:tRNA from 1 species
UUUAAAGUAAGCUAAAUUUAAGCUAGUGGGCUCAUACCCCAAAAAUGAUUUUUUCCUUUAAUA